rnacentral:lncRNA from 1 species
CCUCUCUUAAUUCAGAACCAGACUACAAGGUAAGAAAAAACACAGAAACAGCUACAAUGUUCCCAAUAAUCCGCACAAGGUCUUUUUUCAGGCAGAUGAUAUCUCACAUAAUAUGAUAUACAUGGAUCAAAGGAGGGAAGAAAACGAAGACCAGCUACAGGGGAGAGGGGGGAGAGGGGUGUAAAUGUACAAAGAAUUCAGGUGUCUCAGGG